GACGAACGCUGGCGGCGUGCCUAAUACAUGCAAGUCGAGCGAAGUUUUUCUGGUGCUUGCACUAGAAAAACUUAGCGGCGAACGGGUGAGUAACACGUAAAGAACCUGCCUCAUAGACUGGGACAACUAUUGGAAACGAUAGCUAAUACCGGAUAACAGUAUUUCUCGCAUGAGAGAUAUUUAAAAGUUGGUUAUGCUAACACUAUGAGAUGGCUUUGCGGUGCAUUAGCUAGUUGGUGGGGUAAAGGCCCACCAAGGCGACGAUGCAUAGCCGACCUGAGAGGGCGAUCGGCCACACUGGGACUGAGACACGGCCCAGACUCCUACGGGAGGCAGCAGUAGGGAAUCUUCCGCAAUGGGCGAAAGCCUGACGGAGCAACGCCGCGUGAGUGAAGAAGGAUUUCGGCUCGUAAAGCUCUGUUGUUAGGGAAGAAUGGAUAUGUAGUAACUAUACAUGUAAGAGACGGUACCUAACCAGAAAGCCACGGCUAACUACGUG
rnacentral:rRNA from 1 species